rnacentral:rRNA from 1 species
CCUACGGGUGGCAGCAGUGAGGAAUAUUGGUCAAUGGACGAGAGUCUGAACCAGCCAAGUAGCGUGAAGGAUGACUGCCCUCUGGGUUGUAAACUUCUUUUAUAUGGGAAUAAACUGUUCCACGUGUGGGAUUUUGUAUGUACCAUAUGCAUAAGAAUCGCCUAACUCCGUGCCGGCAGCCGCGGUAAGAGGGAGGAUCCGAUCGUUAUCCGGCUUUAUUGGGUUUAAGGGGGCGGAGGUGGGUUGUUAAGUCAGUUGUGAAAGUUUGCGGCUCAACCGUAAAAUUGCAGUUGAAACUGGCAGUCUUGAGUACAGUAGAGGUGGGCGGAAUUCGUGGUGUAGCGGUGAAAUGCUUAGAUAUCACGAAGAACUCCGAUUGCGAAGGUAGUUCACUGGACUGCAACUGACACUGAGGCUCGAAAGUGUGGGUAUCAAACAGGAUUAGAUACCCUGGUAGUC